rnacentral:rRNA from 1 species
UACAGAGGGUGCGAGCGUUGUCCGGAAUCACUGGGCGUAAAGGGCGCGUAGGCGGCCUGAUAAGUAGGGGGUGAAAUCCUGUGGCUCAACUGCAGGGCUGCCUCCUAGACUGUCGGGCUUGAGCACGGUAGAGGCAGAUGGAAUUCCCGGUGUAGCGGUGGAAUGCGUAGAGAUCGGGAGGACACCAGCGGCGAAGGCGGCGACCUGGGUGGAUACUGACGCUGAGGUGCGAAAGCGUGGGGAGCAAACAGG